CCAGCUGCUGGCUUCUUGCAGUAUUUUGCCUCCAGAUCUGAGAUGAGGGAGUUAAAUCCAUUUUCUUUAGACUUCUGUCUUUGCUGAGAAGCACAAAAUUACCAAUGGUCAACAUAAAAUAUUGAGGUGAUGGUUUAAAAUGUCACAACUGUCCCGCUGGUGGUGUGAGUUUUUUUUACACAGCAAUUUUUUUGUCGACUUGUUUGAGCUUUUAUGGCGACACAUCAAGCUUCACGCGAUACGACAGCAGCAACUUAUGCUUCUCAUUCAACACAUUGUAAGUUAUUUAAACAAACCAUAAUAAACAUAUUAAACUAG